rfam:Angiostrongylus costaricensis strain Costa Rica genome assembly, scaffold: ACOC_contig0002178
GCACGGAUGGCCGAGUGGUCUAAGGCGCCAGACUCAAGAUAUCACUUGCCACGCGAAUGUGGUUGAGUAUUCCGAUACUCGGAAGGGUGCGUGUGUUCAAAUCCCACUCCGUGAA